CAGUCGCCGCGGUAAUACGAGGGGAGCUAGCGUUGUUCGGAAUUACUGGGCGUAAAGCGCGCGUAGGCGGCUUUUUAAGUCAGAGGUGAAAGCCCGGGGCUCAACCCCGGAAUUGCCUUUGAAACUGGAAAGCUAGAAUCUUGGAGAGGUCAGUGGAAUUCCGAGUGUAGAGGUGAAAUUCGUAGAUAUUCGGAAGAACACCAGUGGCGAAGGCGACUGACUGGACAAGUAUUGACGCUGAGGUGCGAAAGCGUGGGGAGCAAACAGGAUUAGAGACCCCCGUAGUCCCUGUCUCUUAUAC
rnacentral:rRNA from 1 species